rnacentral:lncRNA from 1 species
GCUGAUCCCUUUCGCUGUAUGGCGUGCUCGUUUGGGUUGGGCGUCGGCUAAGAGUGCUCGGAGCUUGGAUUAACUCCAGUCGCCAAUCAGGUGUGUAGUUCUCGCUACUCUAGUUGUAGGAUGGCUACUUCAGGCCGCGAUGGGCCGAAAGGGGUCAUGUGGGCCCAAUAGGCCUACGGGCCCAAUUGGAUAAGUUGUUUGAUUGUGUAGUAAAUAUUAGACUAGGCUAGGUGAAUCUCAUAUCUGUGGCUAGAUUUGGGCUAAACGGGCCACACGAGCGUGUGGGCCCAUUUGGGCCGAGAAUAGGCUUUAGGCCCAUUCGUAUUGUUAUCCUUGUUUAGAAUACUUUAGUUUACUAAAUUACUGAAAUACCCUCAAAUUGUAAAAUUACCAAAGUACCCUCGAUUUAUAGAAUUACCGUUUUACCCUCGAUUUAUAGAAUUACUGUUUUACCCUUGAUUUACAGAAUUACUAUUUUACCCUUGAUUUAUAAAAUUACUAAAAUACCCUUGGUUUACAAAAUUACCAAAAUACCCUCGAUUAGUAAAAUUACCAAAAUACCCACGAUCAGUAAAAUUACCAAAAUACCCUUGGUUUGUAAAAUUACCAAAAUACCCCUAGUUUGUAAAAUUACCAAAAUACCCCUAGUUUGUAAAAUUACCAAAAUACCACUGGUUUGUGAAAUUACCGAAAUACCCUCAAUUUGUAAAAUUACCAAAAUUGUAACACCCCGAACCCGAGACCGUCGCCGGAGUCGAACACGAGGUGUUAACAAACUUCAAACCACUUAUUUGACAUUUCCCAGACAAGCUGCCAAUCUGUAUACUAUUCGCUUUAAAAAUCAUAUCUUGAGUUCUAAAACUCGAAAUCCAGUUACGUAAAUUUUACCUAGAACUACACUCAUAUACCUAUAUGGUAGAAUUUUUUUAGAAUUUUUGGUCAGGCAAAUUAGUACAGUUUAUUAGUUAAAUUCUCCCCUAUUACAGGGUGCGACUACACUGACCUUCAUGCAUUAUGAUUUGGAUAACUCCCUGCACAGAGCUUCAAUACUGAUGCCGUUUAUUUCUAUAGAAACUAGACUCAGAGAGGAAUCUAUACAUAUAUGGCAUGACUCCUAAUUAUCUCUGGUUAAUUUAUAAUGAAUUUCCAAAGUCUGAACAGGGAACCCAAAAACCGUUCUGGCCCUGUCUCACGAGAACCUGAAUAUCUCUUAACAUACUGUCCAUAUGAUCGUUUCGUUACUUCUAUAUGAAAAUAGGCUCAUCGAGCUUCGAUUAAAUAAUUUAUUCACUAUUUAAUUCCAUUCCUACUAAUUUUUGUAAUUUUUCAAUCCCACAUCACUGCUGCUGCCAGCAUCUGUUACUGAAGCAACUAUGCCCAUUUCGUGAUUUCUCAUUGAUCUAACUAGUAAUUCAUCAUACAUAUCACAAAAUUUUAAUCAUGACUAGCCAUACCAAAGGCUAAUCAUUGUCAAACAUCUCCCUACUACACUAUUGCCAUAUCAUGAAUCUUAACACCAAAAUUAAUCAGCCAUGACAUAUGGCAUAAAAAUCGAAUUACCAAGACUUACGACCUAACGUUAUAAAACCAAAUCCAACCGAACAUUUAUGCCAUUUUCGCAUGGCUAAAAGUUUACAUACCAAAGUUCAAACACAACAUAAUAGCCUAUACAUGCCGAAAUGUUCUCCUAAGCCGACUAAGAAGAAAGUACCAAAACUUGCUAGCUGCAGUGAUGACUUCGAUGACGGCCCGACCACGCGAAGGAAACGAAUCCAAGAAGCCUAAAAUAGGUGACAAGGAAAAACACCGAGUGAGUAUAUAACUCAGUAAGUCAUAAGCAAUGCACUACCAUCCAUUAAUAACAUUAUCAUAAGAGGAAACAAAAUGGAACAAGGCUAGUUACUCCAUCCACACCGAACCAUACCAUAGUUCCUUAGGCCUAUCGGUUCCAUCUCAUACCAAGUCAUGCAUUCACAUUCCAUAUACUAAUCGAUAGGAUAUUUGAGGCAAUUUCAUACAUCAUUUUAUUUUCAUUACAAUCAUACAACUCGACGACCUUUCACCUAUUCCACGAUAAAUCUUACAUACGUGACUUCAAGUAUAAUUGUCACAUAGGUUCAAAACUUACCAAGUUCAACUCCAAAUAUAAACGUAGCGCCUAUUAGCCAUGAACUCAAGGUACUUACCUUUUUCCGCUGUCCAAAAUCGACUCGGUAAUGUCGCAUCCUUAACGUAAAUAAUUUAUAGAAAAUAUAUAUAUAGUGGGUUCGCACACAUAGUGCUUAAUCAUCAACCACGCACACUUAGUGCCAUGUACUUUAAACUCGCACACUUAGUGCCAUGCAUUUCAAGUUCGCACACCUAGUGCCAAUCUCACAACCGUGAACACUUAUUGCCCGCACACUUAGUGCCGAAAACCAGCCACUCUAUAGGCUUCACUUCCUUUUUACAUUCGACAAAUUUCAUCUCUACAUACAUAUACAUUUGUAUACAUUUCAUCUCAUUAAACACAAUUGUAUAGGUAUUACGAUCAUUUAAAUCAAUACCAAAGAUAUGCUUAAUGACUUACCUUGUGUUAGGUAAAAUAGUUCCAAGUCGGCUACUCGAUGACCUUCGAUUUUCCCUUGUUGGACGCCUCUCCUUUAGAGUCUUGAGCUUAAACAAAUAAAUUAACUCAUUUAACCGCUUUGCUACAUAUAUUGGUAUCCACAUUUUAAUGAUUUUAUGACAUACGAAACGACAUGGUAAAAUUUUCAUCUUGCUACUUUAUGUUCUUAGCUAUUCGGCUAAUAACCUCAUGCAAUUACCAUACUAUCAAUAAUCUAAUCACACAUGCAUAUGCAUACUUGGACAUUCGGUAAUCACCUUUGCUAAUUUUAAACUCAACAUCACAUAAGCUCCCAAGUGAUGGCCGAAUGCUUCAUUUGUUACCCAACUAACCAUUCAACAACCUCAACCUCAUUACCACCCUUUUAUGUCUAAUUAUCUAAGUCAAGAUAAGAUCAUCAACAUGCCUAACUAUAGCCGAAUGUGCAACAUUAAUCUAUCAUUUCCAUUUCAUUUAACACUUAACAUUUACAACAUAUCGAUUCACCAAACUCUCCAUCUAUUCAUGCUCUCAUAUUCGGUCACCCAUACCCAUACUAACCAUAUAACUAAUUAAUCCUAGGGUUAAACACAAGUGCAAUAUUGAAGCACCAUGGCCGAACCUUCAUGAAGUUGCUAAGACCCCUCAUUUCUACUCCUCACACACUCUCACAUCCAAACCUUUUUAUUAAACACUCAAGCUCAAUCAUCUUCAUGCCUCAUCACCACAACAUCAAAACACCAACCAAGAAAGACAACACCCAUGGCCGAAUAUCAUCUCCAUCACAUAGCAAGAUGUAGACCAUGGGCUAGGUAGAACUCAAACUAACAACUAAAACAUGCAUGCAUCUCAUGGAACAUCAUCAAACAUACCUUAGCCUAGUUACAUGCAUGGCCAAAUCUCUUCAACCUUUCUUCUUCCUUCCUCCUUCAAAUUUUCGGCCAAGGUGUUAAAGGAUGAACACCCUUUCUUUCUUUUUUCUUUUCUUUGUCUAGUUACGGCAAAUGGAGGGGGGGAUGGAUGAGACAACUUUGUUUUCAUCACUCCUCCCUUUUCAUUACUUAAUUACUAACCCUUUAUUUAUUCUUUCUAACAUAACACACUAAGCCAACAUGUUCCCAACAUGUUUCCACCCAUAGCAUGGCCGGCCACUAGCUCAAAUUUUGGGUAAUUUGACAUGCAAACCCAUCAUUUUCAUAACAUGCAUUAAUAGGCCACUUCACAUUUGCCUAGCACAUUUCUAAAUUUUCUCACAUAAGUCCUAUUUAAUAAAAUUCACUUACAAUUAACAAAAUUCAAGCAUGAAAUUUUCACACAUGCAUAUAUACAUAUAAUAAGCAUCAAAUAUGAUGGCUAAUUAUUAGUAUGACUCGGUUUUGUGGUCCCGAAACCACUUCCCGACUAGGGUAAAUUUUAGGCUGUCACAAAAAUACCCUUGAUUUACAAAGUUACAGAAAUGCCCUUGACUUUCUAAAAAUUAUGGAAAUACCAUUGGUUUACAAAAUUACUGAAAUACCCUUGGUUUGUAGAUUUACCAAAACACCCUUGUAGGAUGAAAUGACUAAAAUACCCCUAUUAGGUAAAAAGACCGUAAAGCCCCUGUAGGGUAAAGAGACCGUAAAGCCCCUGUAGGGUAAAGUGACCGUAAUACCCCUGUAUGGUAAAAUGACGAAUAUGCCCUUAUGUUCCGUAUGACUGAUGUGCUUAGGAUUUACAUAUAUUGAUAUUGGAUUAGUUAAGUUUGAGUGACAGGUGGUGGUUAUCGUAGGCGAUUGAUUUUGGAAACGUUUCAACUUCAACCCGUAACAGGUGUGUACUAACCCUCGUAAUAGCUUAGAUUAAUAUUUGCUGAGAAGUCAAAAUGCUAAAAUAUCGAUAUUUCGGGAACUUGUAAUGUUGCGUUUGGGUAGAUGCGAUAAAUACGAUAAGAUCGGUGUUUGGAUAGAUGGAACAGGUAAGAACUCAAUUUUGUGCACGAUGGUAAGUUGGGCCUCAAUGGGCUGAAAUUGGGCCCAAUGGGCUUUCGGACCCAUUUGGGUAGAAUUGAUAGAAAAUGGAAUUUGGAAAAGUUGCACGUUAACACGGUUAGUAUUGUUGUAAAAUUUGGGUUAAGUAGGCUAAAUCAACAUUCGUAGGGCCCAUUAGGGGUUUUGGGCCCAAAAGCCCGAAUUUGAUAAAGUGGGUUAAAGAUCAUUGUUUAAACACUCAGAAAUAUUGAUAAUUGUAAUGAACAUGGAAAAUCCUGAUAUUUGGUAAAAUUACGAAAAUACCCUUAUAAUGUUAAAAAUGACUAUUUUGCCCUUGUGGGCAAGUGACUGACUUAGACUGUGUGGUUGACGGAUUGAUUGUGAAUAUAUGUUGGUGAUAUGAAUGACUUUACUAUGAUUGUUUAUUCAAAUAUGGGCAUGACAUUCUGCAUACAUGACAUGUUGCAUUGGGUUGGGUUUUUAUAUGGAUGGAGGAAGUGCAAAAGGGCUUAUACCCUAGUUUAUUGAAAAAGGCUUAUGCCCCAGUUUACCGAAAAGGGCUUAUGCCCUAGUUUAUUGAAAAGGGCUUAUGCCUCAGUUUACCGAAAAAGGCUUAUGCCCCAGUUUAUUGAAAAGGGCUUUGCCCUAGUUUACCAAAAAGGGCUUUGCCCCAGUUAUUAAAAAAGGCUAGGCCUCCAGAUAUAUGAUAAAGCAGCUAUGCUGCCAGUGGUGUGUUGGUUGGGUGGGUUGAAUCAUUCCCCACAUGGUGUGUUGGUUGGUACGGGUGGAGAGUAGCGGAUGGUGGGUCGAGUAGUCUCCCCAAAUGGGCUUGCAUACAUCCAUUGACAUUACAUGUGAUAUUGAAAUGGGCCUAAGGGCCAUACCGUUUACAGUAAAGGCUUCAGCCCAAUGAUAUGAUUUAUUAAAAGGCUUCGGCCCAGUGAUAUGAUUUAUGAAAAGGCUUCAGCGCAGUAACCGUUAAAUGAAAGGCUUCGACCCAGUAUAUGUCAAGACUAAAUAGGGCUUUGGCCCAGAUUGUACUGAUACUGUGUUUUCACUGUUUGUUUGUUAUUGGGAUUACACACUGAGUUUUCGUAAACUCACCCCGUUUCUAACUGUGCAGGUAAUACCCAAGCUUAGAUGGUUUGGAGCUGCGAGGGACUCGGAGAUGGCCACACUACUGUUUCUGUUUCUUUUAAUUGCAAUAAGUAGCCGAUUUAUUUCUUUAUAAGUUUUAUCUUAUUAAUAUUAUUGUUUGGUUUUGAGUUGUAAUAAGGCCAUUUUAAUUAUUUUUCUGGGAUUAUUUUAUUUUUAAUAACUUUAA